GAAAAAUAAAGCAAAAGAUAAUGUGCUGAUUUAAGUUUCAUCUCCUUUUCCUUAGUCUGUCCAUGUGAAUGUGCUGUGUGGAAGAGUAAAAGGGUCCAAGUAAAUGUGUUCCAGUGAUUCCAAUAGCUAUUUAGCUGGUACCUACUGCUAUAUCACGUAGUGUGAAAAAUCGGAUUUAAUGGAAUAAUGAAGCAGUGCAGCUGAAGCCUUCAUGUGGGCCUGGAAGGUCUCCAGUUUGUGCAGUCUGUCUUCUGUGAAAAUGAAUUAACCUUGUUACUGGUUGAAGGCCUUGGAAAUUUUUGCCAGCCGAGAGAUUUUUCUCUUAACUUGGGGUAAGAUUUAAUAAUAGUGUGCUAGAGCUGGAAGGGAUUUAGUUACUUAAUCAAUUGGCCUGAUUUUAUAUGUUAUUAAAGUAUGAUCAGUUGUCAUCAGUUUCCCACCUAUCCCACCCUUUAGAACAAAUGGCUGUCACAUCAUGGAACUGUUCACAUAGUUACUCAGGUCAGUUUGAAUAAUGUAGACUGCACUGAGCUUUGAUUUAUGCCAGUAACAGGAGGCAGGUGAUCUUGCGAAACUUGGUUCCCCAGUCAGUGUCCAAGGUUCUCUCUGUGGUGGUGGCCAGAUAAUUAAGAUCAAUAAAGAUCAGAACAGUGGUCCCCAACUUUUUUGGCACCAGGGACUGGUUUCGUGGAAGUCAACUGUUCACCUCCUGCUGUGCGGCCCAGUUCCUAAUAGGCCAUGAACCAGUAUUGAUCCUGGGGUUGGGGAUCCCGGAUUUUGUCUACAUGCUUGACAGUGUCACUCAUGAUACGGAUGGUAUUUGAUAAACCAUAAACACUUGUGUACCCUAAGCCGUAAGAAGGUGGGCACAGGAGGGAAAAUGGUACUUUUCUCAUGAAGUGAACUGGAGCAAGCCCUACCUCUCCUAAAAAGAGGCACAAAAUAAGAACAACGUAAGUCUUCAAGACAUCUUUCUUCCUCUAUUUAGUUAACCAUGAUGAUCAAUAGGCCCAGGAAUAAUGCUGUAAUUCUAUCCACCAGUGU